GUAAAGAUUGAUAAGAGUUGGACAGGUUGGGUUAUGACCUAAAUUUUAGCCCAUCUUGACCCAAUCUAUCUUAGCCCAAGUAACUUUUGGGCAAUGCCCAAUUAUUGAGUCGGCCCGUUUUGACCCGCCCAAUAUCGGUCCAAUCCGCCCAUUUUACAACAUUUUAAUAACCAGAGGAGCCUGUGUCCGAUAGACUAUUUCUUCCCUAUUGCUUGCGGAUAUGGGAGGGCAUUGCAUUGGCAAUUUGGCGUAGGAUAAGACCAAGCUAGAGCUAGAUGUGAAUCCAGAAUUUAAUAUGUCCAUUAUGAGCGUGAUCUUAUUAUGUGUAUAUAUUUCAAAAUUCUUUUUGUGGAUGCAUACAUAAUUCGGACCACAAGCACCGGUUUAGCUAUUGAGCACGUUCGUCCUAAAUACGCCCCUGGCAACUCCUGAUACCUUUCUUUCAGUAAUAAAUAGUAGGAGGGACCAUAUUCAUAUAUGUUUAAUAUACAGAAUCUUUGUUUCAGCACGGAAAAAUCCUGGAACGGAAAAAAUUCAACAAAGGAUACAAAUUCUGUUUAAUAUGUCAGAAAUGCCAGCUUCCUUCAUCUUGGCUGUUGCCUACAAAUUAAACUACACAUUAGACAAAAUCAACCCAAGGAAUACCAUAUAGAAGCUGACUGAUACAAAAUAACAUCAUGUGCUCCUCAAUAGCUCAGACACCACUACACACUUAGCAUUCUGCAGAUGCUUCUUUGACCAAGCAUACCUCUCUGGAAAUAAAGAACUUCUUGGUUAGGAGCAUUUUAUCCUAUAGUAAUAAAGCUAAUUAUCGGGGAGGAAUCCGAAUUAGUGGGCUAGUUGAAUUUCAUAUAACGGAUGUCUAAAGCAAAAAAGAAAAAAGAAUAGCUAGAUUACGUAUAGAGGCACAAAUUACCAGCAAGAUCUGUGAAUUAAGUUAGGUCGAUCGGUAUUUGUAUAGAUCAAGAUGGGCUUAAGCUGUUGUGCUCUUAAUAGAAAAUGCACUCCAGAAAUAUAUUUGUCCACCAAUAAUCUCUCAAGAGUUAUAACAGUUGGACUGCAUUAGGUGCUACACAGUUUUGGGAAGCAUAACAGUAUUUAUUACACGUACUAUAUAGAAGGUAAAAUCUGAGGAAUUAAAGAACAAAUAGAUUUAGAAG
rnacentral:lncRNA from 1 species